CUCCGACAAUUGAUUACUUCUGAAGUUCAACUCGCGAAGUGACGUUUGCGUCCGAAAUAAUUCAUCGGGUAAUUCUCUCAGUCGAUUCUCUUCCAAACCAAGAUACUUGAGACUCGUCAAGUCUUUAAAUAGGUCGACAGGAGAGGUCGAGCAAUACUAGCAACGUUGUGCUCAAGAAGAGGCUCUCUGGUAGAUUUCGCAACUUAUUCGAAGACGCAUCUCUGCAUCGCAUCAAGGAGAAGAUACAUUUAAUAUUAGAAAAAGGAGAAGGAUGGAGGAGAAGGAUGGAAGGAAGGCUUACAAUUUUAACACGUCCCGAGGAACUAGCUGCGCCGCAGGAAGAUCCAACAGAUCCUGCCUCCAACAGGACACCAAUUUUAUUUCCGGUUGACACCUAC